CCGGACUGCUCGGGGUUAGGCUGGGCAUCGGUCAGCGAGUGUGGAGCCAGGGAUGGUGGACAAAGGAAAGCCACUUCCGGGUCUGACUUGCUACAUGGUGCAAACAGCUCUCUUCCUGCAAGAGGUGUGCAGCCAGGACAGACAGCUGGGCUGAACUUCACAGCUGCUUCAAACUCAAGUAACAGAUGAACAUCCCCAUCUUCACCUCCAAGGUUGUCCCUCGAGGAGCACAGAAGAAGCUCUGUGUUAGCAGCAACUUCUGAAUUCUGCCAGGUUCUCUGAGAUGAACUAAUUAAACAUCUAUGAAGCAUGAUGAGAAGAGAGCUGAUGCAUGAUGGUUGAGGAGGAGACAUCUCUAUUCACCAAAGGACCAUGAAAGGAGUACAAAGAAGACUUCUACUGCAGCCUCAAUCAGACUGUUUGUAUAAAGUAAAAUGAUUAAACAUCUAAAGGGAGAGAUAACGGGUAGAAAAAUUGAUGCUUCUGGUCUUCUCAUUUAUCUGGUUACAACACUGCACUGACUCCAAGGCAGUGUGUGAUGAUGGAAGAGCCUUUUAGAAGUGUGUGGAACUACACCUAGUUCCACUCUGCCUGUUUAGCUGCCCUGGAAGGGAAGAAUGUCAUUCCUGAUAUAUGAUUUCAUUUUAUUUUUUUGAACAAAAUUAAGUACUCAAAGAUCUGUUGUUUGGGAUGUUUUCUGACAGCCAAGACUCAAUGAGAUGAAAUAGUAGUACUGUUCAUGCAUUGGUUUCACCCCAUUCUCAUUAUUGGCAGGAGAAGCCUCCAUUCUAUGAGGGCUAUUCAUUUUCAAUGGCUCUAGCAGAAUUUUAAUCAAUUUUUGUUACCAACAAAUAGUUUUAAAACAGCAUUCUUGUUAAGACAUCUUUAGUGUGAAAAACUAAUGAUAUAGUGUGAUUAUGCAAUACCUAUAUUUAUUCUGACAAUGUUUGUCAGAAAAAUGGUUCUUCCCGUGUCAUCAUUUUCAGUGACAGGUUCAUGUUGACACUGGUGCUGACUAUACGCAGUCAAAACUUCCUCAAUUUCUAUCAUACUUGAUCUGAUACUGACAAGUUCAUGUGCAUUAAUUUCAGCAAUAUGUAAAAUUUAUAGUAAUAAAAGAUCUAGGACUUGAUUUUGAUUUUUAUUUUUUGCUAUUAAUUCUCACUUCUCACUGAGAAGUUUGUUCUUUAAAAAAAACUGUGCAUAAAUAAAAAAGGGAAAUCCUUAAGUAUGCCUUGGAA